CUUUUUUUUUUCUUUCAAAAUCUACACAAAACUUAAAUUCUAAACUAAAGAAAAAGUUCGAAAGGGUGUGUGUCGAAUCCGUUUAUGUAGUAAAUUGAACAAUUAUUCUUUAAGUAUUGGACAUAAAUAUUACUUUUAGAGUCUUGUAAUAGUUAUGGUAAAAGUUGCUUAGACUCCAAACCCACAAGUAGGCUAGGUUAACAUUGAUAAUAAUGUCCACUCAACCACAUAAAUAUGUCAAUUUCAAUCUAUUGCUUCCUUUUUCAAUGUUUUAAAUCGACUCUCUUUAUUUAGCUUUUAGUUUUUCCAAACAUUUUUACUUAGUAUGGGAUCCAUAAAAUAUAUUUUUGCGUCAUUGAUAGUUAUUAUAUCUUAUGUUUUUGAUGGAAGUUUUGCAGAAUUAUUAGUUAUGAAUCUAGACCAUAUCCCUACCUUUCGAAUAUAUUACCCAAUUGCCAUUUAUUAAUCUUUUAGAUUAAACUAAUUUUUCAAAAUAUAAUUAUUCAUUUGACUAACAUCAUUAAACUAAAUGUGAGUUAGGCUUUCAAACACUCAUAGUGAAAUAUAUUUAGAGGACUUAAUAUUUGAACCUUGUAGUUAUUUAAUUUAAAAUCUUAUAUAUAUAUCAAGUUUGAACUUCAUAUCUAAUAAUUUGGCUUCUACUUUGACAUAAUUUUAAAUUCAAUCAUUAAUUUGUAAGUUGAACUUGAUAUCACUACUUGCAUUACUUUUGGAUUUAAAUUUCAAAAAACCUGAUCGAAAAUAUAAAUUUUAACGUACGUUGUUUUUAAUUGUCAAGAAGUUAAAAAACUUACAUUAAUUUCUUAAGUUUAUUUUGUAAUUGAUUUUAGUUACGUUGGAUACUCAAUAACCUAUAAAUAGUUUCCAUAGCUUCUUGUCUAGAAUACCAAAUAAAAAUAUAUACUUCAUUACAUUCUUUUCAUACAGUAAGAAUAAGUCGGUAAAUUCCAAGCAUAAGAAAAAAAUAUGGCUAAUCUAAGCUCCCAUGUUAGUGCGCUAUUCAUUGUUGUAGCAUAGGUGUGUGCGUUUGUUCCUGCAUUUUCAGUAGAAGAAGCUGAAGCAAAAACAUUAUGGGACACUUGUCUGGUUAAAAUCACUCCUAAGUGUGCAUUGAAUAUAAUCGCUGUUGUUUUUGGAAACGGAACCCUCAUUGAGUCUUGUUGCCACGAUCUUGUCCAAGAAGGAAAAGUGUGUCACGAUAAUCUCAUUAAAUAUAUUGCUGACAGACCAUCAUUAGUUGGCCGUGAAACACAAUACUUGAAGAAGAGGGAUGACGUGUGGAGUCAUUGUGUCUCAAUCUCUAAAACUGCUUAAAGUAUGUGUUUUUAAAAUAUUAUUUUAACCGGAUAUAUUGAUAUUUCAAACUUGUUACAUUUUUGUUACCAUAAAUUAAUUUCUACGUAUGUACUUUAAUACGAAAUAAAUUAAAGCAAUUUCUCGUAAGAUGAGUAAACUUCUAUUUUUCGA